rnacentral:rRNA from 1 species
GAGUUUGAUCCUGGCUCAGGACGAACGCUGGCGGCGUGCCUAACACAUGCAAGUCGAACGGAGUUAAAUUCGACACCCGAGUAUCCGGCCGGGAGGCGGGGUGCUGGGGGUUGGAUUUAACUUAGUGGCGGACGGGUGAGUAACGCGUGAGUAACCUGCCUUUCAGAGGGGGAUAACGUUCUGAAAAGAACGCUAAUACCGCAUAACAUCAAUUUAUCGCAUGAUAGGUUGAUCAAAGGAGCAAUCCGCUGGAAGAUGGACUCGCGUCCGAUUAGCCAGUUGGCGGGGUAACGGCCCACCAAAGCGACGAUCGGUAGCCGGACUGAGAGGUUGAACGGCCACAUUGGGACUGAGACACGGCCCAGACUCCUACGGGAGGCAGCAGUGGGGGAUAUUGCACAAUGGGGGAAACCCUGAUGCAGCAACGCCGCGUGAGGGAAGAAGGUUUUCGGAUUGUAAACCUCUGUUCUUAGUGACGAUAAUGACGGUAGCUAAGGAGAAAGCUCCGGCUAACUACGUGCCAGCCGCCGCGGUAAUAC